UAGAGUUUUAUCAUGGCUCAGAUUGAACGCUGGCGGCAGGCCUAACACAUGCAAGUCGAGCGGUAGCACAGAAGAGCUUGCUCUUUGGGUGACGAGCGGCGGACGGGUGAGUAAUGUCUGGGAAACUGCCUGAUGGAGGGGGAUAACUACUGGAAACGGUAGCUAAUACCGCAUAACGUCUUCGGACCAAAGAGGGGGACCUUCGGGCCUCUUGCCAUCAGAUGUGCCCAGAUGGGAUUAGCUAGUAGGCGGGGUAAUGGCCCACCUAGGCGACGAUCCCUAGCUGGUCUGAGAGGAUGACCAGCCACACUGGAACUGAGACACGGUCCAGACUCCUACGGGAGGCAGCAGUGGGGAAUAUUGCACAAUGGGCGCAAGCCUGAUGCAGCCAUGCCGCGUGUGUGAAGAAGGCCUUCGGGUUGUAAAGCACUUUCAGCGGGGAGGAAGGCAGUAAGGUUAAUAACCUUGCUGAUUGACGUUACCCGCAGAAGAAGCACCGGCUAACUCCGUGCCAGCAGCCGCGGUAAUACGGAGGGUGCAAGCGUUAAUCGGAAUGACUGGGCGUAAAGCGCACGCAGGCGGUCUGUUAAGUUGGAUGUGAAAUCCCCGGGCUUAACCUGGGAACUGCAUUCAAAACUGACAGGCUAGAGUCUUGUAGAGGGGGGUAGAAUUCCAGGUGUAGCGGUGAAAUGCGUAGAGAUCUGGAGGAAUACCGGUGGCGAAGGCGGCCCCCUGGACAAAGACUGACGCUCAGGUGCGAAAGCGUGGGGAGCAAACAGGAUUAGAUACCCUGGUAGUCCACGCUGUAAACGAUGUCGACUUGGAGGUUGUGCCCUUGAGGCGUGGCUUCCGGAGCUAACGCGUUAAGUCGACCGCCUGGGGAGUACGGCCGCAAGGUUAAAACUCAAAUGAAUUGACGGGGGCCCGCACAAGCGGUGGAGCAUGUGGUUUAAUUCGAUGCAACGCGAAGAACCUUACCUACUCUUGACAUCCAGAGAAUUUGGCAGAGAUGCCUUAGUGCCUUCGGGAACUCUGAGACAGGUGCUGCAUGGCUGUCGUCAGCUCGUGUUGUGAAAUGUUGGGUUAAGUCCCGCAACGAGCGCAACCCUUAUCCUUUGUUGCCAGCGCGUAAUGGCGGGAACUCAAAGGAGACUGCCGGUGAUAAACCGGAGGAAGGUGGGGAUGACGUCAAGUCAUCAUGGCCCUUACGAGUAGGGCUACACACGUGCUACAAUGGCGUAUACAAAGAGAAGCGAACUCGCGAGAGCCAGCGGACCUCAUAAAGUACGUCGUAGUCCGGAUUGGAGUCUGCAACUCGACUCCAUGAAGUCGGAAUCGCUAGUAAUCGUAGAUCAGAAUGCUACGGUGAAUACGUUCCCGGGCCUUGUACACACCGCCCGUCACACCAUGGGAGUGGGUUGCAAAAGAAGUAGGUAGCUUAACCUUCGGGAGGGCGCUUACCACUUUGUGAUUCAUGACUGGGGUGAAGUCGUAACAAGGUAACCGUAGGGGAACCUGCGGUUGGAUCACCUCCUUACAAUAAAGAUGUGUGUUAAGUGAAGUGCUCACACAGAUUGUCUGAUGAAAAUACUGAGCAAGCGCACCUGUUGAUGUCAUGAGUGUAGACUCAUGCUGACGCGAUAGUGCCGGAUUUUUAAUUCGGUACGGAUUUUUCGUGUCCCCAUCGUCUAGAGGCCUAGGACACUGCCCUUUCACGGCUGUAACAGGGGUUCGAAUCCCCUUGGGGACGCCAAUCCGAUAAUGAGUGAAAGACAUUAUCACCGAAUAUCUUAAAGAUGAUUCUUUUGAGUCAUGUUUACGAUAUUGCUCUUUAACAAUCUGGAACAAGCUGAAAAUUGAAACAUGACAGCUGAACAUGCAUGACUGCCUUAGGGCGAGUUGUGAUGAGUCAGUGUGUCAAUGAGUCUCUCAAAUAAUCGCAGCGCGAUGAUGAAUCGAAAGAAACAUCUUCGGGUUGUGAGGUUAAGCGA
rnacentral:sRNA from 1 species